UACAUGGGGUGCAAACGUUGCUCGGAAUUAUUGGGCGUAAAGCGCGCGUAGGCGGUUACUUAAGUCGGAUGUGAAAGCCCUCGGCUUAACUGAGGAAGUGCACCCGAAACUGAGUAGCUAGAGUACGAAAGAGGGUCGCGGAAUUCCCGGUGUAGAGGUGAAAUUCGUAGAUAUCGGGAGGAACACCGGUGGCGAAGGCGGCUCUCUGGACCUGUCCUGACGCUCAGGCGCGAAAGCUAGGGGAGCGAACAGG
rnacentral:rRNA from 1 species